GUAUGCUAUCGCUAUUUAUUGUGGUUUAACCUGUCGAGGACAAAAAUGUACAGAGAAUUCUGCAUCAAGCCUUGUAAUCAUAGCUUUCCUAGUUUUGUUAAGCCUGGAUUGACAGCUUGGUGACGUGAUGGUUAGUGCUGUUCCCUCACAGCAAGAAGGGCCUGGGUUCAAAUCCACAAUCCAGCUGGUUUGCAGUGUGUAAGUAGAGUUAAUUGGUGAUUCUAAAUUACCCAUGAAUGUAAGUGCAAAUAGUUGUUUGCUAUGAAAUCAUCAACCCCCAUAUUGGUUCAUUAAGCAAGACUAGCAGUUAUUCCCUUGAUUAACAAAGUAGUUGUUCAAACAAUAAGAUUUCAUUGUGUUUUCCUGAAGUUUUUAACUUGUGUAGAAUGAAUUAAAACAAAUUUCACUCUACAUACUUAAAUCACUUCAAGUCAAUGUAAGAAUACUACGUUGAUCCAACUUAAUCUGAUUACAUUAAACCACCAAAUGCCAAAUGUGUUGGUUUGACAUGGUCAAAAAUGGGUUAUUGUACUUGGUUAAAUCACGUGGAAAUAGGUGCCAUGAUUAAAUUGUGUUCAUCCAACAACAGAUUUUUUUUUCGUGGCGAUCUUUAUCUUAACAUGCAUUGAAAAUGGAGACAUUGCCAAGGCUGUGCUGUCUCCUUCACUCUUGGCCACUGGUGCUCUCAUGCCUUUCAUGGGCUUCUCCUUUGGAUAUCUGUUCUCUGGGAUCUUCAGACUCAGCCAUGCGGAAUGGAGGACCGUUUCUAUGGAAACAGGCUGCCAGAAUAUCAUGCUGGGCUCCACCACAUUGAAGAUUGCUUUCCCCCAGGAAGUGAUAGGCGGUCUACAUGGUGUUUCAGCUGUUGGAGGGGAUGGUUCUCACCGUGCUGUUUAGGUGCUAAAAGAGAAAGUAGAAAGGUAAGCGUGACAGCAGGUUUCAGAGUUUACAUGUUGACAAAGGCCUUUUACGUCUAUUAACAGCAUAAUAUUGUAUUUUCACAAAGGGGUAAUAGUUCAAAUGUAUUGUUCCAUGCAUCGUUGUGUGUAGCAGGCAGGUUAGGACCCAAAUGCAGGACUCUCAGGAUAGACUGAACUUAACAGCUUUAUUUAACACAUAACUAAUUACAAGGACCUUAAAUGGCAGGAACUCCAGCGUGGUAAUAAGGAUUUUUAAAAGAUGUGCACAAAGCUGCAUCUGGUCAGUCGGGAAAACCACCCUGACUGAUAAGAGAUAUUUGUACCUUCAUGCAAUAAAGAGGAUGCACACAUAUGUUGUAUCACAAGAGGGCUGAUCAAUUUGUUUUACCAACUCACCUACACAAGGCAUUUUGUAAAGGGCAUAGCAGCCGUGGCAGUUUGUCUUGAAACAGCAAUGGUAAUCUCCUUAUUUUGACUUUUUUCUCAAAAUGAUCACCAAUAAUUUUAUUCUUAACAUGGCCUUAAGACUCCGUCAUACAGAGGGGAGAAAAAUAAAGACCAAUGAAAACUGAAACAUCAGGGAGUUUCUUUAAUAAGUGACUAAAAGAUUGAUCAGCUGUCAAAAUAGUUAGCUGUAUAUCUUUUCGAUGCAUGCGUUUUAAAAUUCAGUGACACUUAUCUAAGCCAUCGGGUGACUUACGAAGCUACAAGCACAUUUACAAUUUUUCUGUCAGGCAGCACGAACCGUCUCUUUUAAAAACUGAAUUUUCCUGCUUUUCCUGCUUGAAAAUGUCUGCCGUUAAAAUUCUCAAACCACCAAUGAGAUACUGAGAAAACAGUUUGACGUUUGUUCUUAUUUUUCCAUUCACACAAACACAAAAAAGAACAAAGAAUAACCGUGUGAUCAUGUUUUGUCUAGGCAGACGAAUAACCAGACCUUACCAUUUCAUGUCUAACCACUAGAAACUUGUGCUAGAGCUUGGUUUGUAAUGAACCUGCCUCUCUAACCCACAGCUACUGGGGAGGAGCUGAAAGAGUCUACUGUAUAACAUCAAUCAAUGAUGUGAAUUCUCAGACAAGUAAAUCCUAAAGCUGACUAUACAAACGGAAAAAUGUGCUACAGAAGAGUUAUUAUAGCAUACUGUAAUCUGAAACUUGUAAAUGUAUUAGUAACUUUAGUUAUAAAGCACCAAUGAUGACAAUCCAGUUUUAAUUAAAAUUCUUUUAUUAGUUAAGUCUAUUGUCUUUCUACACCAUACAAACACCCAUUAUAAUUUUCACUGAAAAUAAAAUCCUCAUGUACAAAAAUCUACCCCCCAACCAAACUCUCACAGUACCAACAAGGGCCACUGGAAUUACAUUUAAAACAAAAGUCUGCAAUCUGUACACAAAAUCCCAAAUAAAAACAAGUACAACGCCAAAGAAAACCGCAUUCUGUAAGCAAAACCACUGAAAGUAAAUGUCGACUUGAUCCUUGAGUUUUUGCCUCCUAAAAUAAGAAAGCCACUGCAAAAAAAAGUGGGAUUCAUUAAAUUAAUUUUUCUGUACAGCUGUUUAACUGAUGCUGUGCUUAAUUUUACACAAUUGUUCUUGAUAGAGAGCUGCCAGAGUGAGUUACAUUAGAGUUUUAAGCACAAAUAGGUAAA